rfam:Rhodovulum sp. NI22 contig00022, whole genome shotgun sequence.
CCCCUUGCACAGCCCCCGCCGCGCGCCUAGAUUAGCGUUGUUCCUUCGGGAACUAUGGCGAUAAACGCGCCCGUAAUAAGCGGAUCGGACCCGGGGGCGGUACCCGGCGGCUCCACCAAACAUCCCUCAUUUGGGGAUCAUGGGGCCGAAACAGGAUCGACGGACGUCUAAAGGGGUUAGCUUUCGCUCGGUGAGGAACCACCGUUAUCGGUCCGACAAAGCUAGUUGCAAAUGACAACAAAGCUCCGAUGGCUCUGGCUGCUUAAGCAGUUCGAUCUAUCGAAAUCUAAGCCCUUGCGCCUAGCAGCGUAAGGCGGGGUUCGCAGGCACCUGGCAACAGAAGCCUGCACU